UGAUUUACAACCAACACCAAUGCAACUUUGCGUUUACAACAAAAUAUACACAAAUUAAAUUGUUAAAGCCGAUUUUUUUCGAAUUGAAAGCGACGAGAUGAGCUCAACGCGCCCGUUUUGCUUCGUUUGCGGCAAGGAGAAGUCCGUGGGCGUUUUCCAGUUAAUAGAAGGCUGCAUAGUGCCAGGAACGUUUAAGCCGAUAAAGGAUAUCCUAAAAUACUUCGAGAAGAUCAUCAACCAGCGCUUGGAUCUCGCGCCCAACUCGGCUGCCUGCCGGGAUUGCCUGGAAUAUCUGUUCAACUACGACAGGCUGGUGCGGAAUCUCAGCCAGGUGCAGCGCCAAAUUGCGGAUGCAUUGUUGGGCUGCCGGCAGGUGGAGGGCAAACCGGAGCAAACCAAGCAGCAGGCGGGGAAGAGGGCCAAAGUCCAGGUGCCGGCCUUCACGAUUAUCCAUGCCACCUCGCUAAAGGAGCCCGCGCCGCAGCCCUCGAAGCAGGAAACAGAGGAGGAGGAGGAAUUUAUGAAGGAGGAGAUGCUGGACGAGGACUUCCGGUUCAGCGAGCCGGAUGACAGCAUGCCCUCCUCCGAGGAGGAGUUCUUCACCGAAACAACCGAGAUACCCUGCCACAUCUGCGGCGAGAUGUUCUCCAGCCAGGAGGUUCUCGAGCGGCAUAUCAAGGCGGACAACUGCCAGAAAAACGAGCAUGCCACCUGCAAUGUGUGCGGCCUGAAGGUCAAGGACGACGAGGUCCUAGAUCUGCACAUGAACCUGCACGAAGGCAAGACCGAACUGGAGUGCCGCUACUGCGAAAAGAAGUUCUCCCACAAGCGGAAUGUCCUGCGCCACAUGGAAGUGCACUGGGACAAGAAGAAGUACCAGUGCGACAAGUGUGGCGAGCGCUUCUCGCUCUCUUGGCUCAUGUACAACCAUCUAAUGCGCCACGACGCCGAGGAGAACGCUCUGAUCUGCGAGGUGUGCCAUCAGCAGUUCAAGACCAAGCGCACCUACAAGCACCACUUGCGCACCCACCAAACGGAUAGGCCACGCUAUCCCUGUCCCGAUUGCGAGAAGUCCUUCGUGGACAAGUACACGCUGAAGGUGCACAAGCGAGUCCACCAGCCGGUCGAGAAACAGGACGCGGCGGAGGCCAAGGAAGCCACCACAGCGUUCUUUUAGGGUAGUCCUUUGCUAGUUUAAUCUAAGUAGCCCAGCUUAUGGGUACAUAAGUGCGCGAAUCCAACCAGGUAAAAUCGCGUAUUUUGGCGGAAUUCGCGGAUUUAUGAAGGCUGAGGUAAUAAAACAGGCAGAUGUCUUCUAAACCAGCAAAAGAUAUCCUUUCUACCUGUUAGUUUUGCCUAUUUAAAGGCAUUCGACCGCUUGCUUAGUGC